rnacentral:other from 1 species
GUUAUCCGAAACAAAAUUUGAUUCAGGAUGAAACAAAGAUUGGUAUCGGAAACAUGGAUUGGAUGGAACCGUUGCAGUAGAUAGGAUAUUUACUGGUCAGGAUGACAAAUGGAAACGCCCGGGAAGGGUAGCAUGGACACCCUCAGGAUGAGGAUGAGAAUCGAGGCAGGACGGCUCGAUGGAUCAGGAAGAUCAAACGGACACCUCCAGGACGGAGAGUUAAGGACAGUGCCGAAGGAUACGGCGACUAAUCAAGGAUGGUGCAGGGAGCACAUUCAGUAGCAGGAUAGCUGCAAGUAAGACCUCAGGGCGCGACGUAUGUCGCGCCCGCUCUAUCUUA